rnacentral:lncRNA from 1 species
UCUGCCAGAGCCAGGGAGCCCACUGCAGCCCUGAGGGCACUCACAUGGACAUGUUCUGGAAGCCUGUGCCAUUCUCCCAGCUGUCGAAGACGGGGAUUGUGCAGGGUGAGAGAAUGGUCCUCCAUGGCCCAGGGACAUCACCCAGGCAGCACUACCCACUGGGUGCAUAGGUGCAUGCCGACAGGGAAACUGAGGCGAAGAAGGGGCAGGGAUCCCACAGCAGUCGCACCA